rnacentral:rRNA from 1 species
AUACGUAGGGGGCGAGCGUUGUCCGGAAUGAUUGGGCGUAAAGGGCGCGUAGGCGGCCGCUUAAGUCUGGAGUGAAAGUCCUGUUUUCAAGAUGGGAAUUGCUUUGGAUACUGGGGGGCUUGAGUGCAGGAGAGGUUAUCGGAAUUCCCGGUGUAGCGGUGAAAUGCGUAGAGAUCGCGAGGAACACCAGUGGCGAAGGCGGGUAACUGGACUGCAACUGACGCUGAGGCGCGAAAGUGUGGGGAGCAAACAGGAUUAGAUACCCUGGUAGUCCACACUGUAAACGAUGAAUGCUAGGUGUAAGAGGUAUCGACCCCUUUUGUGCCGGAGUCAACACAAUAAGCAUUCCGCCUGGGGAGUACGGCCGCAAGGUUGAAACUCAAAUGAAUUGACGGGG